GGGCGCGGGAAUCGAUUCGCGAAGAACUUACAAGGCUUGACAUACACCGGAAAGCAUUAGAGAUAGUGCCCCCCUUGUGGUCGGUGUACAGGUGGUGCAUGGCUGUCGUCAGCUCGUGUCGUGAGAUGUUGGGUUAAGUCCCGCAACGAGCGCAACCCUUGUCCCGUGUUGCCAGCAGGCCCUUGUGGUGCUGGGGACUCACGGGAGGCCGCGGGGUCAACUCGGAGGAAGGUGGGGACGACGUCAAGUCAUCAUGCCCCUUAUUGUCUUGGGCUGCACACGUGCUACAAUGGCCGGUACAAUGAGCUGCGAUACCGUGAGGUGGAGCGAAUCUCAAAAAGCCGGUCUCAGUUCGGAUUGGGGUCUGCAACUCGACCCCAUGAAGUCGGAGUCGCUAGUAAUCGCAGAUCAGCAUUGCUGCGGUGAAUACGUCCCGGGUUGUACACACCGAAUCACUAGUGAAUUCGCGG
rnacentral:rRNA from 1 species